rnacentral:rRNA from 1 species
UACGGGGGGGUGCGAGCGUUGUCCGGAAUCACUGGGCGUAAGGGGCGCGUAGGUGGCGUGAUAAGGGUGUGGUGAAAGCCCGGGGCUCAACCCCGGGGUCGGCCAUGCCGACUGUCAGGCUAGAGUGCUGUAGGGGCAGGCGGAAUUCCGGGUGUAGCGGUGGAAUGCGUAGAGAUCCGGAAGACACCGGUGGCGAAGGCGGCCUGCUG